rnacentral:tRNA from 1 species
GCCUGGGUGGCUCAGUCGGUUAAGCAUCUGACUUCGGCUCAGGUCCUGAUCUCACAGUUUGUGAGUUCGAGUCCCGCAUCGGGCU